rnacentral:lncRNA from 1 species
ACUAAUUUGAAAAAAAAUGAAGAUUAAUGUCUAACUCACUUAUAUUUGUGUGAAUUCUAUUGUAGUUAAUUAUUGGAACUUUACGAAAUAUAGUUUGAAAAGCUGCUAAAGCUUUUUCUUUUUAGGAGAUAGAUUUACUUUAUGAGCACCACACAAACACAUAUAUUUUCAAUUUUCUUGAAAAAACUUUGUAUUAAGACAAUAGCUGUUGUCAGACAAAAAUGAUCAAUACUAUGAUUUAAAAUUAUAGAUUCCUUUUACCUUGACUUAUUCAAGAUACACAUCGUAUAAUACAUUUAGAAAACUUCAUUUAAAAAUAGAACAUGAUACUAACUUAAGAAGCGAAAAGUUUAAAUUCUUUGCACACACUAAACUUUGAGGGCUUAAAACUGAAAGUUUGUCCUAAUAUACUUCAUAUAUACGGAUACAUUUGUGCCAAUUAUCAAUUUCUAUACGCCCUAUCAUUAAAUGAUAUUUAUGUUUUUUGACACCUUAAAUAAUUACCACAAAUUGAUGCUUGGACUAAAAACUGAUCAAUUAGAACUUAAAAUAGAGUCACAUACCAUAAUAACUUUAUAUGAUCGAUCAACAUAUGUAUUAAUCUUUUGAAUGUAGAAAGUAGAUCUUUCAUGAUCAUGCUAUUAGUAUUAGGGGUGGGCAUAAAAUCCGAAAAAUCGAAUUCCGAACCGAAUCGAAUUAAUUUGGUAUUUCGGUUUCAAUCUUUUCGAUAUUUCGGAUUAUUUCGGUACUGAAAUUUCGGUAUUUCGUUAAUUCGGUAUGGUAUACGGUAUCGAGUUUUUAAUAUUUCGGUAUUUCGACAUACCGAAAUACUAAAAUAGUUUAUUCCAAGCCCAACUUUAUUUUUGUUGCUGCAUAGUUGGAAACGUUGUAGAUCACAACUUUUACUGUUGUCAGGUGACUUGUUUAUCACCCAAUAUGGGUUGGGUUAAUCCAUGGGGAGCCCUGAUAUUUUCAAUCAGUUUUACCUUCUUUGGAUAUGCCAUUAAUGAUUUUAUAGCAAAGUGAUGCCUAGUCUUAUAGCAAAACUUGAUUUUACCUUCUUUGUACAACCUUUUUCCCCGUUCUAUUCUAAAAAUAUAGAAAUAGAGAGUAAGUUGUGUACUGAUGUCUUAUUCAAUACUAAGGUGUUAAAUAAUUAUAUUCUUGACUAUCAUGCAAUAGGAUAUUUGGUAUACAUGGUGUACUGGUGUUAAUGUAAAUAAUUUGUGACUGAAUAAGCAUAAUUCGGAUGUAACAACAUAAUAUUCUUAAAUAUAGCAUCUCUACUCUUUGAAUUUUAAAAUAUUGAAAUUUAAUUAAACAUUAAGAAUAUAAAAUAUGUAGAGAGAACAUAGCUUUAUUUACAAAAUAGAUGCAUAGAAACUACUCUUGUUCUGAAUUUCCUAAACUUUCAAUAAUAUUCUAUAAACAUGUUUUAUAUAUCAUGACCUUUGCAAAAGAUUCUUACUUUAUUUCAGUUUUUGUAUAAAAAGAAUCGCAAAUUAAAGUGUUUUUGUUAUCAAGCUGAUUGAACUGUAGUAUUACGGAUUACCAGCCUCAUUUAACCUUGUGCAUUUUAAAACAAUCUCAACCCAUUUAGCCUUGAUAAGAACCUGCUGAGUUCAGGUUGUGCUACGUAUUACGUCGUAUUUCCCCACAGUCGGUGCCUUCGUCGAAAUACUCUUGUCUAAAAACAUGGAUUCAAUUAGUUAAGGAGUGGGGGAGACACUCAAGAUUUGGUUUAACCGAAACCGUACCGAACCAAAAUAAGAAAUAUCGAAUCGUACCGAAAUAUUUUGGUACGGUAUUUGGUAUACAUAAUUGAUAAAUCGAAUAUCGAAAUUCUUAAAUACCGAACCGAAGUACCGAAGAUCACCUAAUUAGUAUUAUGGCAGCUAUUAUAUUAAUGUCUAAUUGAUUAAAGAACAAUUUGCUUGUUGUGUCCUAUAAACGAGAAAUGUAUACUUAAAAGAAUGUAAUUAAUGUAAUAUAGUACGGGAAAAAAUAAGUUGACCAACAGGCAUACCAUAACGAGUCGCAACCAGUUGAAUAAAUUCAUCAACUUUUUCGGCGUCAAGGUCUUUUGAUACCGGAAGUUGUAAAACAUUCAACUCAGUUGACUUGACCUCCUCAUUUGCCAUAAGUUGUAAAACAUACUAACCAGAUGCAUAAAGUAAGAAGGCUAGAACCAAACAAAACAUCGUUGGAGAACUCUUUCCACCCAUUAUGAUCAAUGAAGAAAAACUACGAUUAUGAAAAAGAAGUUGCAACAAUUGUAUUGCCUUCGUGAUAAAUUUAUAGGGAGAGUAACAAGCUUUUCUUUCCUUGUUGUAAAAGAGGGAGUAGUUAAUUGAGUCGGCUAAAAAUGACAUUAGUAUUAUUAAAUACAAAUUAUUGAUUUUGAUUGAGCAAGAUAAAAGUGACAUUUCAACUAACAUAUACAAAUUAUUGGUUUUUCAAAAAUGACAUUCUUGUACCAAAUAUAAAUAAUAGGCAUCUUAUCUCGUCAACAACUUUUUACAUGUUGCUUUUUUAAAUUUAUUAUAUCAUUAUAAUAUAUAAUUUCUCCUUUAAUAUAUAUGUCAUUGCUUUUAAAAUUUGCAAGAAGAUUUUAUUAAUACAAGACGAUAGUUAUUGAAAGUAAGAAAGAGCAUUAUACCUAAAAGAUCCUCUUACUAAUGCAAAGCAGUACUUAAAAAUAAAUAUUUUUAAUAUACACUAAAAGUCUAGAAAGUAAGAACAAAUGUUACAAUGAAAAGGCCAACAUACCUCUCACGAACCAAAAUCUCAUCUAAUCGUGAUGAUACCUAGUGUGUUUUAGUAGUGCCUAUGACUUCGUACUAACGGUUUUGGGAAAUGUAUAGUUACUGGACAUUUGCGGCUAUGUAUAUCAUUUAAUGAUUUAUGAUAAAUGAUUAAAUAGUUCAAUUAUGUUAUUCAAUCACCAUGUGUUAGGCUUACCUAGUCUUAGAGACUAGGUGUCAUCACGACAUCAUACGGGGGGAAACUGGGGUCGUGACAAAUAUGGAUUAGCCGAUAUCGACUUAAUAUCAUCAAACAAUACUAGAGAAUUCAAUUGCAAUAGAUAAAGUUAAGAUCUUUACACUUUUUUCAAAAAGACAACAAACGUCAAACCGGGGUUCGCCCGGUCAAACCCCGGGUCCAAUGGUAGAUUCCGUCCAUCCAUAACCUCACGAUUUCAUAUAUGUGAUUAGUUUCAAAAUGCGAGUCCAAAUCGACUCUCAAAACUCAAUUUCUUAUUUUUCAAAAACUAAGCAAAGUUUCGCCAAUUUCUACUUUGAUUCAAAUGGUUUUGAUGUUAAAAUCUAAGAUAUGUUGAUGGAAUAUGAUUAGAAAUAGAUUAGAAUCACUUGCUCAAGGUUUGUAGGUGAAAAUCCCUUCUCCAAAUCGCCUCCUACUAAGUUUAGGGUUAAAAAAUAUGAGAAUGAGUUCAAAAAUCCCGUCUGCCAACUCUUUAACCAGCUGCAAAUGUCACAUUUGCGACACAUGGUUUGCAUUUGCGAACCCUCACAAUUGUGGACUAGGGCUCGCAUUUGCGAACACUGACAGGCUCAACAUGCAUUGCAAUUGCAAUAAAGCCUUCGCAAUUGCGAACUGGGGAACAUCGCAAAGGCGGGCAAAUUGUUCGCAACUGCGAACAUGACCAAAUUCUGCUAGCUUCGCAAAUGCGAAGGUGAGAUCGCAUUUGCAACAACUGCCCAUCACCUAUCGCCUUCGCAAAUGCGAGCCUGGUGUUCGCAUUUGCGACACCAGAGCAACAUACAUCAGUUUCUGCAAAUAUUCAGUCCAAAAUAUUUCUGGAACAUGUCCGAAACUUAUCUGAGCCAUUGGGGCUCCAAACUAAACAUACACACAAGUCUAACAAUAUCAUACGAACUCGCUCGCGCGAUCAAAACACAAAAAUAGCAUCUAAAACUAUGAAUCGAACACUAAAACGCAUGAUUUUCCAAGAAAUUUUCAAGAACUUCUAGAAUUAGAACUAAGCGUCUGAAACCUAUCAAAUCAGCUCCAAACAACACCAAAUUUUGCAGACAAAUUCUAAAUGCCAUAACGUACCUAUUUUAAAUCCCAAAAUCAAAUUACGAGCUCGAUAGCUAAAAGUCAACCUACGGUCAAACUUUUCAACUUUAAAUUGCCAAAUUUCGGCAAGUCAACACAAAUCAACAUACGGACUGCCAAAAUCAAUUCCGGACAUACGCCAGAGUCCGAAACCACGAUACGAAACUAUCAGAGUCAUAAAAACACAGUUCCUGGGUCGUUUUCACAAAAUUCAAUGUUUGGUCAAUAAUUUCAAAUUUAAACUUCUAAGUCAAGAAUCAAGGGUCCAAUUCAACUCGAAAGCUUUCCAGAACGAAACUAAUCAGCCCCGCAAGUCAUAAAAGCAUAAAUACACAUGUGUGAAGCAAUAAAAAUGGGUAAUGGGGCGCAAUUACACAAAACGACAAAUCGGGUCGUUUCACAUCAUUAUACAUGUGUUAUCUUUAUAUUAGACUCUGACUGUCUUCUUCUGCGCUUGUCACUGCUUUCAGCCCAAGGUUAGCUCUGUUACUUAUUGAGUACAUGGUUGGUUGUACUCAUACUACACUCUGCGAUUCGUGUGCAGAUCCAGGUACAUCUGGACGUGGUGAUUGCUAGAUCUAUGCUAGUACCUGUUUGGAGAUUUCAAGGUAGCAGCUAUGACGUCCGCGGAUCUCGACUCUCUUUUCCUUAUUUUCUUCAGUACUGUUCUAUUAAUCAAACAGUUGUACUAGGGAGCUUGUUUAUGUUUUGAUACUCAGUAGUGCUCUUGUACUCGUUGAUACCGUAUUUUGGGGUGGUUGUAGUAGUAUUUAUGUUAUUUGUAGCAGAUAUUUAUGACAUUUCCAUUGUUUAGUUUAUUAAACAAUGUUUAUUCAAACGUCUAACUGCUAUGCGGUUGUUUUGUCUAGCAAGUGUGUUAAGCGCCAUCACGACAGAUUGAGAUUUUUGGUCGUGACGAUUUUAUAUAAAUCUCAAACACACCCAACGGAAUAUACAACAAUCCAAUAAAAAACAACUCAAAAUUAGGAGAAAUAUUUAAAAAUACAUUACCACAUCAUAGGUUCUAGAAGUUGAUAUAUCUACAUAAUCAUAAUGAUUGUUUACGACCUCAACUUCAGUACAAAUCUUAUUUUAGUAUUUUGUACGAACCUCAAUAAAAAUAUUAUUUUAAUAAUUAUGGACCACAGCUGCCAUGGGGGCUGAAAACGGAACACUCAAAGGCACCAGGGUAACACUUGGGGCCACAAGUUGCACCAAUACAGUCGCUGUCAGUCUUACAACACCUAGUGUAUAUGCAAAAUCCAAGUUUUCUAGGACGACUAAAAUAGAAGGGUCCUGCAUACAAAAAACAAGUCCCAUAAUACUCAUACAUUUAUCAAAGCCAUCACUAAUUUAGAAAAAAAUAGAAGAUUCGUAAUAACUUCGUAUAGCAUACAUUAUACGAAGUUAUACGNNNNNNNNNNNNNNNNNNNNNNNNNCUUUUUCUUUUUAGGAGAUAAAUUUACUUUAUGAGCACCACACAAACACAUAUAUUUUCAGUUUUCUUGAAAAACUUUGUAUUAAGACAAUAGCUGUUGUCAGACAAAAAUGAUCAAUACUAUGAUUUAAAAUUAUAGAUUCCUUUUACCUUGACUUAUUCAAGAUACACAUCGUAUAAUACAUUUAGAAAACUUCAUUUAAAAAUAGAACACGAUACUAACUUAAGAAGCGAAAAGUUUAAAUUCUUUGCACACACUAAACUUUGAGGGCUUAAAACUGAAAGUUUGUCCUAAUAUACUUCAUAUAUACGGAUACAUUUGUGCCAAUUAUCAAUUUCUAUACGCCCGUAUCAUUAAAUGAUAUUUAUGUUUUUUGACACCUUAAAUAAUUACCACAAAUUGAUGCUUGGACUAAAAACUGAUCAAUUAGAACUAAAAAUAGAGUCACAUACCAUAAUAACUUUAUAUGAUCGAUCAACAUAUGUAUUAAUCUUUUGAAUGUAGAAAGCAGAUUUUUCAUGAUCAUGCUAUUAGAAUUAGGGGUGGGUAUAAAAUCCGAAAAACCGAAUUCCGAACCGAAUCGAAUUAAUUUGGUAUUUCGGUUUCAGUCUUUUCGAUAUUUCGGUUUAUUUCGGUACAGAAAUUUCGGUAUUUCGUUAAUUUGGUAUGGUAUACGGUAUCGGGUUUUUGAUAUUUCGGUAUUUCGGUAUAGUACCGAAAUACCAAAAUAGUUUAGUUUAUUUUUGUUGCUGCAUAGUUGGAAACGUUGUAGAUCACAACUUUUACUGUUGUCAGGUGACUUGUUUAUCACCCAAUAUGGGUUGGGUUAAUCCAUGGGGAGCCCUGAUAUUUUCAAUCAGUUUUAGUUUAUUAACGGUCCAUUUAGAUAAAAUCCGAAUGAUUUCUUAAAACAGUUGCCUAUCUUACUAAAAUGAAAUCUGCAAUGGUAUAUCCAAAAUGGUAAUUUUUUCUCUGUGAAAUGUCUCAAAGUGAUGCCUAGUCUUAUAGCAAAACUUGAUUUUACCUUCUUUGUACAACCUUUCCCCCGUUCUAUUCUAAAAUUAUAGAAAUAGAGAGUAAAUUGUGUACUGAUCUCUUAUUCAAUACUAAGGUGUUAAAUAAUUAUAUUCUUGACUAUCAUGCAAUAGGAUAUUUGGUAUACAUAGUGUACUGGUGUUAAUGUAAAUAAUUUGUGACUGAAUAAGAAUAAUUCGGAUGUAACAACAUAAUAUUCUUAAAUAUAGCAUCUCUACUCUUUGAAUUUUAAAAUAUUGAAAUUAAUUAAACAUUAAGAAUAUAAAAUAUGUAGAGAGAACAUAGCUUUAUUUACAAAAUAGAUGCAUAGAAACUACUCUUGUUCUGAAAUUCCUAAACUUUCAAUAAUAUUCUAUAAACAUGUUUUAUAUAUCAUGACCUUUGCAAAAGAUUCUUACUUUAUUUCAGUUUUUGUAUAAAAAGAAUCGCAAAUUAUAGUGUUUUCGUUAUCAAGCUGAUUGAACUGUACUAUUACGGAUUACUAGCCCCAUUUAACCUUGAGCAUGUUAAAACAAUCUCAACCCAUUUAGCCUUGAUAAGAACUUGCUGAGUUCAGGUUGUGCUACGUAUUACGUCGUAUGUCCCCACAGUCGAUGCCUUCGUGGAAAUACUCUUGUCUAAAAACCUAAUAUGCAAUUCUACCAAGAUCACACUUUUUGUGCCUCAGGUGAAGCAUUUUGACCUUUUGUUUGGGAUGUCAAGUCAUCCAAAGGUUUUUUUCUACAUAUACACCAAUUUAUGUACCAUUUUUUUUAAUUAAGAAACAAACAAAAUUUUUGAUUCUAUAUCAGAUUGAUCUUUGGUGGAAUCUCAAACAACAUGGAUUAAAUUAGUUAAGGAGUGGGGGAGACACUCUAGAUUUGAUUUAAACCGAAACCGUACCGAACUAAAAUAAAAAAUACUGAACCGUACCGAAAUAUUUUGGUACGGUAUUUGGUAUACAUAAUUGAUAAACCGAAUACCGAAUCGAAAUUCUUAAAUACCGAACCGAAGUACCGAAUGACCACCUAAUUAGUAUUAUGUUAGCUAUUAUAUUGAUGUCUAAUUGAUUAAAGAACAAUUUGCUUGUUGUGUCCUAUAAAUGAGAAAUGUAUACUUAAAAGAAUGUAAUUAAUGUAAUAUAGUACGGGAAAAAAUAAGUUGACCAACAGGCAUACCAUAACGAGUCGCAACCACUUGAACAAAUUCAUCAACUUUUUCGGCGUCAAGGUCUUUUGAUACCGGAAGUUGUAAAACAUUCAACUCAGUUGACUUGACCUCCUCAUUUGCCAUAAGUUGUAGAGCUGCCAUAUUUGUAAUAAAGUUUGUGUUAAUUAUUUUGAUAUCUAAAAAUAAUCUCUUUUGAUAGUCGAGGUUGAAGUAGGGGGGAGAAAGUAGUGAGAGUAAAAUCCGAACAUUUAUAUAUAAUAAAAUUAUACUAACCAG